rnacentral:tRNA from 1 species
CAGAUAGCUCAGUUGGUAAAGCACCUGGCUAGAGAUUUAGGAGGCUUGGGUUCGAAUCCCGGUCUG